AGAGUUUGAUCAUGGCUCAGAAUCAACGCUGGCGGCGUGCCUCAGACAUGCAAGUCGAACGUGAAAGUUCCUUCGGGAAUGAGUAAAGUGGCGCACGGGUGAGUAACACGUGGGUAAUUUGCCUUCGGGUGGGGAAUACCAACCGGAAACGGUUGUUAAUACCGCAUGAUGCAGCGGCUCCGAUUGGAGACAGUUGUUAAAGCGGGGGAGCGGAGCAAUCCGUCCUCGCGCCUGAAGAGAAGCCCGCGGCGGAUUAGGUAGUUGGUGAGGUAAUGGCUCACCAAGCCUGCGAUCCGUAACCGACCUGAGAGGGUGGUCGGUCACACUGACACUGACAUACGGGUCAGACUCCUACGGGAGGCAGCAGUCGGGAAUUUUGGGCAAUGGGCGCAAGCCUGACCCAGCAACGCCGCGUGAAGGAUGAAGCAUUUCGGUGUGUAAACUUCGCAAGAACAGGAAGAAUAAGUGAAUGCAAAUACCGUUCAUGAUGACGGUACUGUUUGUAAGCUCCGGCUAACUCCGUGCCAGCAGCCGCGGUAAUACGGGGGGAGCAAGCGUUGUUCGGAUUUACUGGGCGUAAAGGGCGCGUAGGCGGCAUGACAAGUCAGUUGUGAAAUCUUGAAGCUUAACUUCAAACGGUCAACUGAUACUGUCGAGCUAAGUGCAGAAGGGGCAACUGGAAUUCUCGGUGUACGGUGAAAUGCGUAGAUAUCGAAGG
rnacentral:rRNA from 1 species